GGACAUAUCAAGUUGAAACACCAGUUAUCGUACGAUCAUCGAAGUUAAGCAACGUCGAGUCUGGUCAGUACCUAGAUGGGUGACCGCUUGAGAAUACCAAGUGC